UGGAACUGCCACUUAAGCAUCAGAAGUCUGCUCAGGUGUGACCCUGGGAGCCCAAACUUUUCACGGAACAGCAAGGAACAUCCCUGUGCUCCUCCUUCCCAGUCUCUUUUUUUUUCAGAGGGAGUCUCGCUCUGUUGCCCAGGCUGGAGUGCAGUGGCGAGAUCUCAGCUCACUGCAAGCUCCGUCUCCCGGGUUCACGCCAUUCUCCUGCCUCAGCCUGCCGAGUAGCUGGGACAACAGGCGCCAGCCACCAUGCCCAGGCAUACAAAACCUGCCUUGCCUCUCCCCAGUUUGAACAGUGCUUUUGAACUUUGAUGGAAAAGCCACAUUUGGAAGCUGCAGCAUCCUCGGGAGACAGCUGGAUCAGCCAGAGAGCUUCAGAAAGACACACAUCACUCUGCCAGACACACACACUGCUCCAGCUCCAGCAUCCAACAUCUGACCACAUGUCGGCAGCCACUGCUGACCUGGCUCCACCAUUUCUCCCCAGGUCUAAGCUUAAGCCGCACUGCAUUGCUUCCAUUUCUUCAUGCUUGCUCUGUUCCCUUCUACCACAGGGGCUUUGUGCAAGCUCAGCCUCAACAUGGAUCUUCCCCCUUCUUCACCUGGUCAACAGCCACUCAUUCUUCAACCUUAGUUCGAGCAUCAUCAACCUCCCCCGCUAUGUCAGUUCUCCCUGUUAGACACCCUGGCUGUUCCACAUAUCUUUUAUUCAAAGUAGUUACAUAUUAAAG
rnacentral:lncRNA from 10 species